UACGUAGGGGGCUAGCGUUGUCCGGAAUCAUUGGGCGUAAAGAGCGUGUAGGCGGCCCGGUAAGUCCGCUGUGAAAGUCGGGGGCUCAACCCUCGAAUGCCGGUGGAUACUGUCGGGCUAGAGUGCGGAAGAGGCGAGUGGAAUUCCUGGUGUAGCGGUGAAGUGCGCAGAUAUCAGGAGGAACACCAAUUGCGAAGGCAGCUCGCUGGGACGUAACUGACGCUGAGACGCGAAAGCGUGGGGAGCAAACAGG
rnacentral:rRNA from 1 species